GAGGGAAACAACCCAGACCGCCAGCUAAGGUCCCAAAGUCAUGGUUAAGUGGGAAACGAUGUGGGAAGGCCCAGACAGCCAGGAUGUUGGCUUAGAAGCAGCCAUCAUUUAAAGAAAGCGUAAUAGCUCACUGGUCGAGUCGGCCUGCGCGGAAGAUGUAACGGGGCUAAACCAUGCACCGAAGCUGCGGCAGCGACACUGUGUGUUGUUGGGUAGGGGAGCGUUCUGUAAGCCUGUGAAGGUGUGUCGUGAGGCAUGCUGGAGGUAUCAGAAGUGCGAAUGCUGACAUAAGUAACGAUAAAGCGGGUGAAAAGCCCGCUCGCCGGAAGACCAAGGGUUCCUGUCCAACGUUAAUCGGGGCAGGGUGAGUCGACCCCUAAGGCGAGGCCGAAAGGCGUAGUCGAUGGGAAACGGGUUAAUAUUCCCGUACUUGGUGUUACUGCGAAGGGGGGACGGAGAAGGCUAUGUUGGCCGGGCGACGGUUGUCCCGGUUUAAGCGUGUAGGUGUGUGUUCCAGGUAAAUCCGGUUCACUUUAACACUGAGGCGUGACGACGAGGCACUACGGUGCUGAAGCAACAAAUGCCCUGCUUCCAGGAAAAGCCUCUAAGCAUCAGGUAACAUCAAAUCGUACCCCAAACCGACACAGGUGGUCAGGUAGAGAAUACCAAGGCGCUUGAGAGAACUCGGGUGAAGGAACUAGGCAAAAUGGUGCCGUAACUUCGGGAGAAGGCACGCUGACACGUAGGUGAAGUGAUUUACUCAUGGAGCUGAAGUCAGUCGAAGAUACCAGCUGGCUGCAACUGUUUAUUAAAAACACAGCACUGUGCAAACACGAAAGUGGACGUAUACGGUGUGACGCCUGCCCGGUGCCGGAAGGUUAAUUGAUGGGGUCAGCGCAAGCGAAGCUCCUGAUCGAAGCCCCGGUAAACGGCGGCCGUAACUAUAACGGUCCUAAGGUAGCGAAAUUCCUUGUCGGGUAAGUUCCGACCUGCACGAAUGGCGUAAUGAUGGCCAGGCUGUCUCCACCCGAGACUCAGUGAAAUUGAACUCGCUGUGAAGAUGCAGUGUACCCGCGGCAAGACGGAAAGACCCCGUGAACCUUUACUAUAGCUUGACACUGAACAUUGAGCCUUGAUGUGUAGGAUAGGUGGGAGGCUUUGAAGUGUGGACGCCAGUCUGCAUGGAGCCGACCUUGAAAUACCACCCUUUAAUGUUUGAUGUUCUAACGUGGACCCGUUACCCGGGUUGCGGACAGUGUCUGGUGGGUAGUUUGACUGGGGCGGUCUCCUCC
rnacentral:rRNA from 1 species